CCCGGGACCGGGGUAAAACCUCCCCCCCCCAAAAACAGGGGUUUUUUCGGGGCAACCCGGGGGACAAUACCCGGAAAUAGUAUGAAACCCCCCUGCUGGGCAAAGAAAAGGUGGUUCCCCCUCUUUUUUUUUGGAUGGAACCCGGGUUUGCAGUUUUUAAGUUGGUGGGGGGUAACGGCUCCACCCAAGGCAUAAGAUGCGGGGGGCUUUAGAGGGUGUUCGGCCACCCCUGGGAAAGACACGGCCCAGACUUCUUUUGGGGAGGCCCCUCAAUGGGAAUUUUCCGCAAUGGGGAAAGUCUGACGGGCAACCCGGUGACUGACGAAGGCUUCGGGUUAAAACUCUUUUUUGGGAAAACAGUGCUAGUUUAAUAAGCGGCACCUUGACGGUACCUAACCAGAAAGCCACGGCUAAAUCGUGCCAGCAGCCGCGGUAAUCGUAGGUGGCAAGCGUUAUCGGAAUUUUGGGCGUAAAGCGCGCGCAGGUGGUUUCUUAAGUCUGAUGUGAAAGCCCACGGCUCAACCGUGGAGGGUCAUUGGAAAUGGGAGACUUGAGUGCAGAAGAGGAAAGUGGAAUUGCAUGUGUAGCGGUGAAAUGCGUAGAGAUAUGGAGGAACACCAGUGGCGAAGGCGACUUUCUGGUCUGUAACUGACACUGAGGCGCGAAAGCGUGGGGAGCAAACAGGAUUAGAUACCCUGGUAGUCCACGCCUUAAACGAUGGUGCUAAGUGUUAGAGGGUUUCCGCCCUUUAGUGUGAAGUUAACGCAUUAAGCACUCCGCCUGGGGAGUACGGCCGCAAGGCUGAAACUCAAAGGAAUUGACGGGGGCCCGCACAAGCGGUGGAGCAUGUGGUUUAAUUCGAAGCAACGCGAAGAACCUUACCAGGUCUUGACAUCCUUGAAAACCCUAGAGAUAGGGCUUCUCCUUCGGGAGCAGAAUCACAGGUGGUGCAUGGUUCUCAGCUCGUCG
rnacentral:rRNA from 1 species